rnacentral:rRNA from 1 species
GUUUGAUCAUGGCUCAGAACGAACGUUAGCGGCGCGCCUAACACAUGCAAGUCGCACGAGAAAGGGCUUCGGCCCCGGUACAGUGGCGCACGGGUGAGUAACACGUAGGUAAUCUCCCCUUGAGUGGUGGAUAACCCUCCGAAAGGAGAGCUAAUACAGCAUGAGACCACAGCAUCUACGGAUGCAGAGGUCAAAGCAGGCCUCUACAUGUAAGCUUGCGCUCAAGGAUGAGCCUGCGGCCCAUCAGCUAGUUGGUGAGGUAACGGCCCACCAAGGCUAAGACGGGUAGCUGGUCUGAGAGGAUGAACAGCCACACUGGAACUGACACACGGUCCAGACUCCUACGGGAGGCAGCAGUGGGGAAUCUUGCGCAAUGGGCGAAAGCCUGACGCAGCGACGCCGCGUGAGCGAUGAAGGCCUUCGGGUUGUAAAGCUCUGUGGGGAGAGAAGAAUAAGGAUACGCUAAUACCGUAUUCGACGACGGUAUCUCCUUAGCAAGCACCGGCUAACUCUGUGCCAGCAGCCGCGGUAAGACAGAGGGUGCAAACGUUGUUCGGAAUUACUGGGCGUAAAGCGCGUGUAGGUGGCUAAGCGUGUCGGAUGUGAAAUCCCGCGGCUCAACCGUGGAAGUGCAUUCGAAACUGCUUGCCUAGAGUUUCGGAGAGGAAGGCGGAAUGCUUGGUGUAGAGGUGAAAUUCGUAGAUAUCAAGCAGAACACCUGUGGCGAAGGCGGCCUUCUGGACGAUGACUGACGCUGAGACGCGAAAGCGUGGGGAGCAAACAGGAUUAGAUACCCUGGUAGUCCACGCCGUAAACGAUGAGUGCUAGGUGUCAGGGGCUUUGACCCUCCUGGUGCCGCAGCUAACGCAAUAAGCACUCC